GGAGGCGGGACUUACGUUGUGGUGACAAAAGUUUACAGUUGCUUGUUAUAACCGGAGACUGCAGUUACUCACCUUCUACUGCGUGUUUGUGCACCUCUCAACCUCGAUUAAGGAUAUGGAUAUGACAUGCUGUAAAUCAGUAGGAACUGAUCUGUCCAUGCUGGAUAUUGAUGAUUUCAUCACAGAAAUCUCUCUGCUGAAGAAAGAGGUGGCGUUACUGGAGACAAAGCUGAGGUCAAGAGGAGAUGAAGAAAUAAAGAGAGAGGAUGUGGUUUGUUGUGAAUCUUCAGUGUACGUGACUGAUGAGAGUCUAGAUUCAGUGUGGGUCAGCAGCAGAGAUCAGACACCACAGCCACUGCUGGACAAACAUACACAGGACUCAGAGCUCAGUCUCACUUUACUCUGUUACACUGAGUCAAAGCCCACAGAAACUCAGGGCACUAUAGUGUGUAGUGACAGUAAUUGGGGCUUACAGGAUGAUCAAACCUCCACAGAGUCCUCAGAUUCUGUGUGUAAUACUGGAGAACAGCAUCAGAUCCUGCAGACCACACUGAAAAUGUGUUCAGUCAAACUCAUCGACUGCAGGAACCUCAUGCUGAAAACUGAACCCAUAGCUGAAGAACAUCACACUGAGGAAGAUGAGGAAUCCAUAGCUGAAGAACAUCACACUGAGGAAGAUGAGGAACCCAUAGCUGAAGAACUUCACACUGAGGAAGAUGAGGAACCCAUAGCUGAAGAACUUCACGCUGAGGAAGAUGAAGAACCCAUAGCUGAAGAACUUCACACUGAGGAAGAUGAGGAACCCAUAGCUGAAGAACUUCACACUGAGGAACCCAUAGCUGAAGAACAUCACACUGAGGAAGAUGAGGAUUAUGAUGAUGGUGGUGAUGAUGGUUUUAUUCCUUCAGAUAAAACUGAACCCACAGCUGACGAACAUGACACUGAGGAAGAUGAGGAUUAUGAUGGUGAUGAUUUUAUUCCUUCAGAUAAGAAGACUGAUUCAUUUUCGGACGAAGAAAUAAUGUCCUCAACAUCAUCAAAAGAGCGACUGACAGCACAAACGCUUUCAUCCAUUACCGGUGAAAAGACAUUCAGACAUUUAGAGAGACGUGAUAGAAAACACACAGAGCAGAAAUUCUUCACCUGCACCAAAUGUAAGAUCAGCUUUACUACUGUACAAGAGCAGAGACAACAUAAUGCAAAAGUGCACCUAGUAAACAAGCAGAUUCACUGUGAGAAGUGUGGGGAGAAGUUUAAAUUCACAUCUCAGCUGAAACGGCACAUGAUGAUACACGGUGAUAAAAAGUCUUUCUACUGCACUGAAUGUGGAAAUUACUUCACCACCAAAGUAAGUCUCGUUGCUCAUAAAAGAAUUCACACCGGAGAAAAACCAUACAAGUGUCCUCACUGUGAGAAGAGAUUUAGUAAAGCGUCCUAUGUUAAGAGACACGUGCUUUGUCACACCAAUGAGAGACCGUAUCCGUGCAGUGAAUGUGGAAAAGCCUUUAAGGAUUUAGGUUAUCUGAGGUCACAUCAAAAUCAACACAAGAAGAAGAAACCCUAUCAGUGUUCACACUGUAAGAAAGGUUUUGGUGACAAAACUCAGCUGGUGUUACACGAGAGGAUUCACACUGGAGAGAAACCUUACAUCUGCGUUGACUGCGGAAAGAGCUUCUCUGAUCCAUCUCAUUUCAGAGCUCAUCAGAGAAUACACACUGGAGAAAAACCUCAUCCCUGUAAUGUUUGUGAGAAGAGAUUCAUUCGACAUGAUCUUUUAGUGAGACACCAGAGAACUCAUACAGGUGAAAAACCUUACAAAUGCUCUUUUUGUGAUAAGAGGUUUGCUCAGUCAUUUUACUGUAAAAUCCACGAGAGACUUCAUACUGGAGAAAAACCUUUCAAAUGUUCUCAUUGUGAUAAGAGGUUUCCUCAACCAUAUUACUUAAAAAUCCACGAGAGACGUCAUACUGGAGAAAAACCUUUCAAAUGCUCUUUUUGUGAUAAGAGGUUUACUCAAUCAUAUACCUUAAAAAAGCACGAGAAGCUUCAUACUGAAGAAAAAACUUUCAAAUGUUCUCAGUGUGAUAAGACGUUUCCUCAAUCAUACUUAAAAAUCCACGAGAGACUUCAUACUGGAGAAAAACCUUUUAAAUGUUCUCAUUGUGAAAAGACGUUUGCUCUGCCAUCUUACUUAAGAAUCCAUCAGAGAGUUCAUACUAGAGAGAAACCUUACCACUGCUUCAUCUGUGGAGAGAAAUUCACCAGUUCUGUAAAGUUUCAGACUCACAAGAAGAAACAUACUGAAGAACAAACUACACUGAAAUCAUCAUAGCGUCUUAAUCUGUAAUCUGGGCAAUACACGUGAAUUUGUUGAGAGAAUCUGUGAAUGCAGAAACGUCUUUGGAAACCAUUUCAACGAAGCAGGUCUGUGUUUUCAACACCUGGCUCACUAAGACUAUUUAAAAAGUGUCAUACACAGUAAUUCAACAUCCUGCUGUCAAACCAGUCAACAGUUUAUGCAGUAUUUAUAGCCGAUGGCCUUGAUGUGAAAAAUAUACUAAAGCAUCAUGUUUUACUUUGGGCAAUCCUAAACAAAUGAAAACUGAGUAUUAACUAUCUGCUGAAUUAAAGAUUAAUACUUACAUUAUAAACAUAAACAUAAUUUUGUCAAAGAACAUUUGCUCUUUAACUUGACAAAAUGUACCAAAAUGAUAGACUGAAAUAAACAAUAAUAAUACAGAAAAAAUUAAUUAAUAAAAAAUGCACAAUAAAAGUCUAGUUUGAGAAAAAUAAUAAUUAAAAUAAUUUGUUAAAAUAAAUUGUUUCUAGAUUAGAGCAUUUUUAAGCGUCCAUUAUUUGGACAAACAGGACUACUUAGACCGAUCCACGUAUGGCAUCAAAUUGUGAGGGCGAUUCCCCGCUAAACUCUUGAUUUCAUACAGCCGUUCAGCUGAUUCACCUCAGUGAUUGUUUCCUAAUCAUAAAUUGAAACCAUAUCGCUUAAAAAGAAGCGGCAUUUCAGAUUUGUUGUAUGGAAAGUUCAAUUUCCUUAAAACUAUAGGCUAUGUUGUUGUCCCAUAAAUAUUACAGUUGUAUAUCGCGUGUUACAUACAGUGGUGCCCUCAGAAAAUUUUAAUGGGGUGGCUAGAGGAGGCCGUACCAAUUCAUGGGGUGGCACAAAAAAUAAUUAAGUGUUAUGUGUGUUAUACUAAUUAACAUUUGGUUCUGGUUAAUGUAACGUUAUGCUUUAAAUUAGCAAUUAAUUGCUCCUUAAAUAGUGUAGUCCUUUGCAAAUUGACAUAGGUGGAAGGAUUAUGUGUGUAAGCAGUUGAAAUAAACUUUAGUAUGUCAACUGGAAACAUUAUUUUGUCAUAUUAGUUCUAAAUGAAUGCAGUUAUACUGUCAAAUUAAGUUAAACAUAAUUAAGUUAUGUAAUUAAUCACAAGUCAAAACUUAAAAUAAUAUGUUGAAUUGACUUUUUUUUACUUCAUGCUGCAUUUUUUUUAUUACUGCAAAACUGUUUAUAACAUUUUAAGAAGACUGACAUCCGUAGUUUUUACACUUUGUUCUUUUUUUCUCAGCCUGGCCUUUCUUUCAACGAUAUUGCCCUAGCAAGAUAUGCGAGUUGGCAGGAAGGUCUUAUACGAUUAAAAACAUUUUUAAUAAUCAAAUGUGACCUGUUAAAACCUCUAGCUAAAGUCAUUUUUUUGUGAUUUAUUGUUUCUACAUAAAAGCAUACAUACAUGAAGAACAUUUUGUUAAAAAUAUAACCUUAAAAUUUUUACUAAGUAAUCAAUACGUGAAAUCAAUCAAACUUUGAUGCUUCUAAUCUCAUAAUUAGAUUAUGGGGUGGUUUUCCGGACAGGGAUUAUCUUUAGCCAGGACUAGGCCUUAGUUUAAUUAUGAAAUGUAACUAGUUUUAACAA